rnacentral:rRNA from 1 species
GAUGAACGCUGGCGGCGUGCCUAAUACAUGCAAGUCGAGCGAACGGACGCUAAGCUUGCUUCUCUGAUGUUAGCGGCGGGCGGGUGAAUAACGCGUGUAUAACCUCCCUAUAAGACUGGGAUAACUUCGGGACACCGGAGCUAAUACCGGAUAAUAUUUUGAACCGCAUGGUUCAAAAGUGAGAGACGGUCUUGCUGUCACUUAUAGCUGGAUCCGCGCUUCAUUAGCUAGUUGUUAAGGUAACGGCUUACCAAGGGAACGAUGCAUAGCCGACCUGAGAGGGUGAUCGGCCACACUGGAACUGAGACACGGUCCAGACUCCUACGGGAGGCAGCAGUAGGGAAUCUUCCGCAAUGGGCGAAAGCCUGACGGAGCAACGCCGCGUGAGUGAUGAAGGUCUUCGGAUCGUAAAACUCUGUUAUUAGGGAAGAACAUAUGUGUAAGUAACUGUGCACAUCUUGACGGUACCUAAUCAGAAAGCCACGGCUAACUACGUG